ACAGGGACCAUGGACUGGUCCCCUUCUCUGCAUCCAUUCCAAUCGUCGAUCUUUGGAGACAAGAAGGUCUGGCAGUAAUCACGAGGAAACCAUCCGACUUAUCCUUGGGGUCUGUCAGGAGUUCGGAUCCUUCCAGCUGGUUAAUCACGGGCUAUUGGAGAGACUGCUGGGCAAGCCGAUGGACAUAGUAAGGGAGUUCUUCGAGAUGCGGGAGGAGGACAGGGCACUGUACUAGGAUCCUGGGAAGCCUUGCAGGCUGUAAAUGAGCAUCGACUACGAGCGGGAGAAGGUCCACUUCUGGAGGGACACCCUCGGGAGUCAGGCACCCUUCCCAUCCCCUGCAUCAGCACAUUCCUUCUUGGCCGGAGAAGCCUCCACUUUAUAGCUGGUUAAUCAUGGGCUAUUGGAGAGACUGCUGGGCGAGGCGAUGGAAGUAGUAAGGGAGUUCUUCGAGAUGCGGGACUAGGACAGGACACUGCACUAGGAUCCCGGGAAGCCUUGCAGGCUGUACAUGAGCAUCGACUACGAGCGGGAGAAGGUCCACUUCUGGAGGACACCCUCAGGAAUCAGGCACCCUUCCCAUCCCCUGCAUCAGCACAUUCCCUCUUGGCCGGAGAAGCCUCCACUUUAUAGAGAAAUUAUGGGAAAACUAUUCAGUGGAAGUAAGGAAGCUGAGCCUCUACCUUCUCGAUAUGAUUUGUGAAGGCCUCAGACUCGAACCGGGAUUUUUUGAUAAGGAACUGACUCAAGUCCAGUUGAUGGCUUUGAACCAUCAUCCUCCGAGUCCUGAUUCCAGCUUAACCUUGGACUUCCGCAACAUAGUGAUGUUGGUCUCAUCACAGUUCUUCAAGGUCAAAUUCACGGGCUCCAGGUCCUCAAGGAUGGGCAGUGGCUCGGCAUGCCGCCUCCCCACAACGCCUUUGUGGUGAAUAUCGGACACAUGUUGCAUGCAAGCGCUUGGCUGAAAUCAUAAAAAUCCUACUUCUAUAUUGUUGCUCAAAAUUUAUACUAAUGAAUGUGUUCAAAAGUACAGUUUUCUCAGAUCAUAAGUAACGGAAUGCUGAGGAGCGCCGAGCACUGAGUGAUGACGAACAGAGAGUCUGCACGAACCACGGUUUCAAGUUUCAUCCAUCCCUUUGAUGGUAACCACAUCGAACCUGCCAGGGCAUUAGUCACUGAUUCGAGUCCUCAAAUCUACAGAACUUUCAGAUACAAGGAUUUCCUCUAGACCUACAUUACUGACACCCACAAAAGAACACCGCCGCUGAAGCGUUGCAUCUUAGGAUCUUAACAUGAAACAAUAAAUACAUUUACGGAAAAGUUCAGUUCCAGGGAAUGAUGCCUACAGUAUAACUCUCUGUUCAAAUCGUGUCUGUUCUUUCUCGUGUGAGUUUCUCAUUUGAACAAGUCGUAACGAGGAAAAAUUCGUUGAAGAAAAGAGAGGGAACGAACACAUCAAAUUAUUUGAUGGCUCCAGAUUUUAAUGCAGCAGCCCAGCAGACAUGCAUUCAUCGUUCCAACAUUAUGAGAUGCUAAGAACAGGGAC